GUGGGGAAUUUUGGACAAUGGGCGCAAGCCUGAUCCAGCAAUGCCGCGUGCAGGAAGAAGGCCUUCGGGUUGUAAACUGCUUUUGUACGGAACGAAACGGUCCUGGUUAAUACCCGGGGCUAAUGACGGUACCGUAAGAAUAAGCACCGGCUAACUACGUGCCAGCAGCCGCGGUAAUACGUAGGGUGCAAGCGUUAAUCGGAAUUACUGGGCGUAAAGCGUGCGCAGGCGGUUUUGUAAGACAGGCGUGAAAUCCCCGGGCUCAACCUGGGAAUUGCGCUUGUGACUGCAAGGCUGGAGUGCGGCAGAGGGGGAUGGAAUUCCGCGUGUAGCAGUGAAAUGCGUAGAUAUGCGGAGGAACACCGAUGGCGAAGGCAAUCCCCUGGGCCUGCACUGACGCUCAUGCACGAAAGCGUGGGGAGCAAACAGGAUUAGAUACCCUAGUAGUCC
rnacentral:rRNA from 1 species